CCCUUAGAUGUUCGGGGCCGCACGCGCGCUAUACUGAAGGAAUCAGCACGUCUUUCUCCUUGUCCGAAAGGACUGGGUAACCCGCUGAACCUCCUUCGUGCUAGGGAUUGGGGCUUGUAAUUCUUCCCCAUGAACGAGGAAUUCCCAGUAAGCGCGAGUCAUAAGCUCGCGUUGAUUACGUCCCUGCCCUUUGUACACACCGCCCGUCGCUACUACCGAUUGGAUGGUUUAGUGAGAUCCUCGGAUUGGUCCCGGCGCGGCCUCUGGUCGUGCCGGAGUGCCGAAAAGAAUGUCGAACUUGAUCAUCUAGAGGAAGUAAAAGUCGUAACA
rnacentral:rRNA from 1 species